GUAUAACCGUGGUCAUACUGAUACCUACUGAUUGCUGAUUGCAAGCAGCAAUAAUUCACAGAAUCAGUGGCCUCCUCCAAAAGUAAGUGCUCAAAAUUUACCACCUAAGCACAAGAAGGAAAUCAAACCCCACAAAUUAGGGAAAUUAGAAUCGACGCACAGAUCCACCCACUUCUCCACUGCAAUACAGCUUCUGCGGCGGCGGCGGCGGCUUGGGGUUCCUACACUACACGCUUAUCCCGUCCACGCCACACUGCUUGUAUUUCAGCGACUGGCUCCUCGGGCUGAUGGCGAUUGCGCAAUCCACCGACACCUGCAGAUUGGGGCUCGUUCACACAUUACGUCAGUUUCGCCCGCGGAAGAGUGUUUUUAGUGUAGGGCAAAAACACUUGCGGCGGAAGCGAACGGAUGUUGUUGGUCCCCGUUGCGGGUGGCGUGUCGAUUCGUACCUGCACUUUUGGGGAGGAGAAGCCGAGCACGAGGAUCUUCGCGCCGACGUCGCCGGUGAUGCGGAGCUCGACGCGGUCGUUGAUCGCGGCGUCGCGGAUGAGGUCCUGCGCGUCGGCCUGGAGCACGUUGAAGCGGUCGACAAUGACGCGGGUCUGGAGCAGGCGGGUGCUGUGCGCGGGCUGCUCGAACCCGGGCACCGCCGCCACCCCGAGCGGCACCCCGUGGUACAUGACGUCGAACUUGGUGGCGCCGUACCGGAUGCCCACCUUGUUGGGGUUCUGGGCGGUGAAGAGCAGCGUGAUGUUGAGGGAGAUGUAGGCGGCGCCCGGGGUCGCGGGGGGCAGGCCGGCCGGGGACGUCGGCGAGGCCACGAGGAGGUACUGCACGGACACCUGGUCGAGGUCGAACUGCGGCUUGCGGGGCUUCACCACGAGCACGACGACGAGCGCGAUGGCCAGGGCGAGGAGCGCCAGGAAGGUGAGCAGCAGGAAGAGGCAGCAGCAGCAGCCGCGGAAGGAGGCGGACCCCCCGCCGUACCCGUAGUGCGGGCGGCGCUGCGGGUACCAGGACCCCGCGCCGCCGUGGCCGUGGCCCUCGCCGUUGGAUCGGGCCGUCACGGUGCCGGCCGCCAUCUCCCGGAGAUGGAUGGGAGGCCGCCUGGGGAGAGAUGGCUUUGGAUUUUUGGAGCCUACUGGGGCAUCUGCGAGGUGUGGUGCGGUGCAGCGGUGGUGGAAGUGCGGGCGGAGGCCGAGGGGAAAGUUUGGCGAGGCG
rnacentral:misc_RNA from 1 species